GGAUAUUGCGCACACA
rnacentral:rRNA from 1 species